GUGCUCACUAUGGUGACACAUAUAUUAAAAUUUGAACAAUACACAGAAGAUUAGCAUGGCCCCUGCACAGGGCUGUCACACAAAUUCGUGAAAUAUUAUGUAUUUUU